GAUGAACGCCGGCGGCGCGCCUAAUACAUGCAAGUCGAGCGAACAGACGAGGAGCUUGCUCCUCUGACGUUAGCGGCGGACGGGUGAGUAACACGUGGAUAACCUACCUAUAAGACUGGGAUAACUUCGGGAAACCGGAGCUAAUACCGGAUAAUAUAUUGAACCGCAUGGUUCAAUAGUGAAAGACGGUUUUGCUGUCACUUAUAGAUGGAUCCGCGCCGCAUUAGCUAGUUGGUAAGGUAACGGCUUACCAAGGCAACGAUGCGUAGCCGACCUGAGAGGGUGAUCGGCCACACUGGAACUGAGACACGGUCCAGACUCCUACGGGAGGCAGCAGUAGGGAAUCUUCCGCAAUGGGCGAAAGCCUGACGGAGCAACGCCGCGUGAGUGAUGAAGGUCUUCGGAUCGUAAAACUCUGUUAUUAGGGAAGAACAAAUGUGUAAGUAACUAUGCACGUCUUGACGGUACCUAAUCAGAAAGCCACGGCUAACUACGUG
rnacentral:rRNA from 1 species